AGUGAGGAGUUGGGAAAGAAAGGAAAACAUAAGAUGAGAUCACUCUAUGAACAAGUGACGGUUUGAAGUGGGUCACCUCAUUGCCAUCGCAUAAGCACCUUAUUGCACCAACCCAAGGAAUCACCUGCAAGUGAACAGUGAAGGUUCAAUAAGGAUGGAAAAGAGUACUGAUAGCAAUUUGGAAGCAAAUCUAAGGAGUGCAUACUUUUCAUUAAAAGGUUAUUUCGUGCUUCCUCUCUUCCACACGAUCAAGAUCUUCAAAGUAAGCAUCUUUCAAAGGAACGACAAG